GACGAACGCUGGCGGCGUGCUUAACACAUGCAAGUCGAACGGAAAGGCCUGCUUUCCCUUGUGGAUUGCGGGUACUCGAGUGGCGAACGGGUGAGUAACACGUGAGUGAUCUGCCCCCAACUUGGGUAUAAGCCUGGGAAACUGGGUCUAAUUCCCGAUAGGACUGCAGGGUGGUGCCUGUGGUGGAAAACGAUUUUCCAGUGGUUGGGGAUGAGCUCGCGGCCUAUCAGCUUGUUGGUGGGGUAAUGGCCUACCAAGGCGGCGACGGGUAGCCGGCCUGAGAGGGUGGACGGCCACAUUGGGACUGAGAUACGGCCCAGACUCCUACGGGAGGCAGCAGUGGGGAAGAUUGCACAAUGGGCGGAAGCCUGAUGCAGCGACGCCGCGUGGGGGAUGACGGCCUUCGGGUUGUAAACUCCUUUCGACCGCGAGGAAGCCACCUGGUUGGAAGGGUGGUGACGGUAGUGGUAGAAGAAGCACCGGCUAACUACGUG
rnacentral:rRNA from 1 species